rnacentral:rRNA from 1 species
GUAAUCGCAGAUCAGCAUGCUGCGGUGAAUACGUUCCCGGGCCUUGUACACACCGCCCGUCACACCAUGGGAGUCGGUAACACCCGAAGUCGGUAGCCUAACCGUAAGGAGGGCGCCGCCGAAGGUGGGAUUGAUGACUGGGGUGAAGUCGUAACAAGGUAUC